UUGAACGCUGGCGGCAGGCCUAACACAUUCCAGUCGAGCGGAUGAAGGGAGCUUGCUCCUGGAUUCAGCGGCGGACGGGUGAGUAAUGCCUAGGAAUCUGCCUGGUAGUGGGGGAUAACGUCCGGAAACGGGCGCUAAUACCGCAUACGUCCUGAGGGAGAAAGUGGGGGAUCUUCGGACCUCACGCUAUCAGAUGAGCCUAGGUCGGAUUAGCUAGUUGGUGGGGUAAAGGCCUACCAAGGCGACGAUCCGUAACUGGUCUGAGAGGAUGAUCAGUCACACUGGAACUGAGACACGGUCCAGACUCCUACGGGAGGCAGCAGUGGGGAAUAUUGGACAAUGGGCGAAAGCCUGAUCCAGCCAUGCCGCGUGUGUGAAGAAGGUCUUCGGAUUGUAAAGCACUUUAAGUUGGGAGGAAGGGCAGUAAGUUAAUACCUUGCUGUUUUGACGUUACCAACAGAAUAAGCACCGGCUAACUUCGUG
rnacentral:rRNA from 1 species